rnacentral:rRNA from 1 species
AGGGCAAGUCUGGUGCCAGCAGCCGCGGUAAUUCCAGCUCCAAUAGCGUAUAUUAAAGUUGUUGCAGUUAAAAAGCUCGUAGUUGAAUUUCGGGGUUCUACCGUUGGUCGGGCUAUUGUCUGUACUGGUGUGUAGAAUUUCUACCUUCUGGGGAACUAUCAUGUUAUUAAUUUAGCGUGGUAGGAAACCAGGACCUUUACCUUGAAAAAAUUAGAGUGUUCAAAGCAGGCUUAUGUCUGAAUACAUUAGCAUGGAAUAAUAAAAUAGGACGGUGGUCCUGUUUUGUUGGUUUCUGAAUCACCGUAAUGAUUAAUAGGGAUAGUUGGGGGCAUUAGUAUUCAAUUGUCAGAGGUGAAAUUCUUGGAUUUAUUGAAGACUAACUACUGCGAAAGCAUUUGCCAAGGAUGUUUUCAUUAAUUAAGAACGAAAGUUAGGGGAUCGAAGACGAUCAGAUACCGUCGUAGUCUUAACCAUAAACUAUGCCGACUAGGGAUCGGAUGAUGUUAAUUUUUUAAUGACUCAUUCGGCGCCUUACGGGAA